rnacentral:tRNA from 1 species
GUGUUGGUGGUUCAGUGGUAGAAUUUCCAUCUUCGUUCUGGAGACCUGGGUUUAAUUCCCAGCCAGUGCA